UCUCUCUCUCUCCCCCUCAAAAAAUAAAUAAACAUUAAAAAAAAGAGAGAGACAGAGAGAGUCCUAAGUCAGACCCUCUUGAAACUCCACCUAUUCAGAAGUCUCAACCGUAUGACGCUUAGCAGUAAGAUUCUGUUCACAGGACAAUCGCCUCUGUUUCAAUAAUGACUUCUUCCAGGUUGUAUUGGACUGCCUGAGUGAAGUUCUAAGAAUCUUGGGAAAGAUCCUAGUUGUUGAGCUUAGAAUUUGGAUUUCUAAGCACUACGUACAUCCAUCCUGUCAUUACGCAGAGACUUACAAAGUAUUUACGACUAGAAACUAUGGGUGUCUGUUUGGAGCUGGAAGCAGAGAGAUGGGAGCAAGAGGUAGAACCAAAUUGCCGUACAGCCAAUUAGUUACGCAGUGAAAACGUUUGCAGCGAAAUGCUUUGGGACAGUGAUGUCUGUGGUGGAGAUGGUCACAGGAGAAACACCAGACAUGAUCUUCAUCAUCCACCCACUCUGGAAUCCUCACCACUACUCCAGAUAUGUUCUUUCCAAGGUCAUGUCUCAGCUGAAAUGUCGCUUCCUCCCUGAGGUUUUCUCUAACCGAGAUUCUGAAUGUCCAUCUCCGGUCAUUAUUCACUGGUAUAUCACAAUUUGCAGCUGUAUAUUUAUUUAUAUUUAUUUCCUAUUACU